UAGUGAUACGUGGGGUGUCUUAGCUAAACAACAGACACAUGUAAGAAAACACCAGUUUGAUCAUGGAGAGCUGGUUUAUCAUGCUUUGCAAUUGUUAGCAUAUACAGCCCUUGGUAUUUUAAUUAUGAGACUAAAACUCUUCUUGACACCACACAUGUGUGUUAUGGCAUCACUGAUCUGCUCAAGACAGG